rnacentral:rRNA from 1 species
UACAGAGGGUGCAAGCGUUAAUCGGAAUUACUGGGCGUAAAGCGCGCGUAGGUGGUUUGUUAAGUUGAAUGUGAAAUCCCCGGGCUCAACCUGGGAACUGCAUCCAAACUGGCAAGCUAGAGUAUGGUAGAGGGUGGUGGAAUUUCCUGUGUAGCGGUGAAAUGCGUAGAUAUAGGAAGGAACACCAGUGGCGAAGGCGACCACCUGGACUGAUACUGACACUGAGGUGCGAAAGCGUGGGAGCAAGCGGG